UAAAGGAGUCUCCGAGGUUCUGCACAGGAUCCACCAUGACACGGCCGUAGAUGAUGUCACCUACCGGGAAAACAAAACAAAAGCACACUGACUUGCAGAAUGCAGUGUCGCUUUCUUGCCCGAAUCCCAUGGAACCAUCUGACAACCACAGAGUCCUCUUAGAGAGCAGCAGCAUCUGUGUGUUCAGGCUGAAUUCUGCAGCUACAGGGUCACUCACCUGCACGCACACACACAUACACAUAUAUAAUUUAACUGCAAUUGUAAAACUGUGUGCAUUCAAUUCCACGUCGUAGAUUUUUAAAUUAUUGAUGUAUUUUUUGUAUUAGACAACACUUCCUCAACGUGUAAAAAAAAAAAAUCAUCAUUAUCUUCAUAAAUAUAAACUGGAAUUAAGAAUCACGUGAACCAUGAAGCCAUGUAAUUUUCUGUAUUAAAUGCAUGACUAAUGGC